rnacentral:lncRNA from 1 species
GGGCCGGAAAGGAACUUAACCCAUCGUUGCUGGGGGCUGUCGCUCCUUACCGGGCCGUCGCGCCUUACAAAGAGGAAUGAUUGUUGGUUUUUUUUUUUUUUAAUGAAUGGAGGGCGGCGGCAAGCAGCAGCUGCAGCUGGAUCAGCUGCGCGUGCUGUACCCCACCCGGCCUGGGAAAGAAGCUUUCCUGAAGGAGGAUGAGGGAAGCUCAUGUUGCCUGGACUCUGCAGUGCUAAGGAUGAAGGAGAGCAUAUUUCUGAGCAAGGAAUUCAUCAGUCUCAUGAUAGAGGCUCAAAGCUGGGCUGGUGAUGGAGGUUAAGGUAUAACACUGUGAAAAGGGGAAUAUUGGAAAUCACUGGCUCUUGGGCCAAUUUAAACAAUCUUCAGAUAAAUUAUCAUAAAGCCAGACAAUAUCUGGCUAAUUAAAUUUUUAUUAAUUUUAUUACAUUCUCUGAAUUUGGCACCUAAUUUACAUGCUUUUGAUUAUAUUUGUAUGGCAUGGCUUGCUUCCUGUCUAUUUAGAGUAAUGCAGAAAUUUUAUUUGGUCUAUAAUUCUGUGAUCCAAUUAAAUUAAAACAAUUCAGGUUACUGUUCACCCAAUUUCUUCAGCCUUAGAUUGAAGACUCCUAACUCUCUGUAUGCUUCUGAGAUAGAGAAUCUGGUGCAGUGAUAGUUGAUGGGGAGAAGGGACAGAGAAAAAUUAAGAGAUAUCACCCUUUUUUCACUGUAUUCCCAGCAUAUAGAACAGUUCCUGGCACACAGUCAGUGCUCAAUAAAUUCUUGUUGAACUCUACUCA